rnacentral:rRNA from 1 species
GACGAACGCUGGCGGCGUGCUUAACACAUGCAAGUCGAACGGAAAGGCCCUGCUUUUGUGGGGUGCUCGAGUGGCGAACGGGUGAGUAACACGUGAGUAGCCUGCCCUUGACUUUGGGAUAACUUCAGGAAACUGGGGCUAAUACCGGAUAGGAGCUCCUGCUGCAUGGUGGGGGUUGGAAAGUUUCGGCGGUUGGGGAUGGACUCGCGGCUUAUCAGCUUGUCGGUGGGGUAGUGGCUUACCAAGGCUUUGACGGGUAGCCGGCCUGAGAGGGUGACCGGCCACAUUGGGACUGAGAUACGGCCCAGACUCCUACGGGAGGCAGCAGUGGGGAAUAUUGCACAAUGGGCGGAAGUCUGAUGCAGCAACGCCGCGUGCGGGAUGACGGCCUUCGGGUUGUAAACCGCUUUCGCCUGUGACGAAGCGUGAGUGACGGUAAUGGGUAAAGAAGCACCGGCUAACUACGU